rnacentral:rRNA from 1 species
GUGAGAUACCACUCUAGCAUGGCUAAAAUUCUNNNNUNNAANCGUCAUCCGGUCGAAGAACAGUUUCAGGUGGGCAGUUUGACUGGGGCGGUCGCCUCCUAAAAGGUAACGGANGCGUGCAAAGGUUCCCUCAGGCUGGUCGGACAUCAGUCGUAGAGUGUAAAGGCAUAAGGGAGCUUGACUGCNAGACCUACAAGUCGAGCAGAGACGAAAGUCGGCCUUAGUGAUCCGACGGUUCCGAGUGGAAGGGCCGUCGCUCAACGGAUAAAAGUUACUCUAGGGAUAACA